AAGGAGCAAACUAUUGAAUUUGAACCUUGAUGCUACUUUCGGAACAUUUAUCAAAGUGAAAGUAAUGCUGGGAAUUCAGCGCUGCGCU